rnacentral:lncRNA from 1 species
GCGCGUCUGCGCCUCCGGCCGCCGCGGCUCCCGGGGCCUCCGCCUGCAGCCGGCGGCGGAACGGGGGCAGGCGGCUGAGACGGGCGAGCUAUUUGCAUUCCCGGCAGUCAUUUUUAUAUGCGGAGGUAAUGAAGUUGUCAGCGGCGCCCCGAGUGUGGCAGAGCCUGAUAUUCAAAUCGCCCUGCCCGCUCCGCCUGCUCCCGCCCGCCUGUCCCGGGAGCCCCAGGCUGCGCGCGCCCGCACCGCAUCCCCGCUUUGCCCCGCGACCGCGCGCGCCUCCUCGUCCUCCCCCGCGCCUUUGUCUCCGUCUCCUUCUCGUUUCCUUCUCCUUUCCCUCCUCUUUUGUGUCGGGCCAGACUCAGCCCCAGAAACCAGCCACCCUGCCGCGUCCGACUGCCAGGGAUCCCGCACGCCGCGAGAAACCCAACACAGCUAUUCUGUCAGGCUGCCGAGAAAAGGCUGUUCCACAGUUGCAGCCCUGGUGAGGCAAUGAGGCGGAAAGGUGGACGCACCUGCCUGGAGUGGUUGAAGGAAGGCAGUGAACAUCCACGCUCCUGGGGUUGGUUUUCCUGGGCCUCUGUAGCUGUGCUGCUCACUGGGGCAGCCACUGACCACAAGAGGCUGCCGAGCGCUUGCAGUGUGGCCAGGCCAGACCAGGAUGUUCUCCAACUGGGAAAUACACACCCCCAUUGUAAAGAAGACUGUAUGGAAAAAAGAAUGUGAACUGGCUCAUUCA